rnacentral:rRNA from 1 species
AUUGAACGCUGGCGGCAUGCUUUACACAUGCAAGUCGAACGGUAACAGGUUAAGCUGACGAGUGGCGAACGGGUGAGUAAUGCAUCGGAACGUGCCCGGUCGUGGGGGAUAACGCAGCGAAAGCUGCGCUAAUACCGCAUACGAUCUGAGGAUGAAAGCGGGGGACCGUAAGGCCUCGCGCGAUCGGAGCGGCCGAUGUCAGAUUAGGUAGUUGGUGGGGUAAAGGCUCACCAAGCCGACGAUCUGUAGCUGGUCUGAGAGGACGACCAGCCACACUGGAACUGAGACACGGUCCAGACUCCUACGGGAGGCAGCAGUGGGGAAUUUUGGACAAUGGACGCAAGUCUGAUCCAGCCAUUCCGCGUGCAGGAUGAAGGCCCUCGGGUUGUAAACUGCUUUUGUACGGAACGAAAAGGUUUCCAUUAAUACUGGGAGCUCAUGACGGUACCGUAAGAAUAAGCACCGGCUAACUACGUG